UGCUGCGCAUCUUUAACCUGAGCCUGAGUCUGGAGAGGGUUCCUGUGUUGUGGAAGACUUCCUGCCUGGUUCCUGUCUCAAAGACCAGGAACCCCAGGGAGCCAAACCACUUCAGACCUGUGGCCCUCACUUCUCAUCUGAUGAAGACCAUGGAGAGGAUCAUCCUCAGGAACCUACCCCCCCAGGGUGAAGCUUGAGGGAGCAGGAGUAGACUGUCACCUGGCUGCCUGGAUCAUCGACUACCUCACCAACAGACCACAUUACGUGAGGCUUCAGGGAUGUGUGUCUGAUGUAGUGGUCAGCAGCAUGGGGGCCCCACAGGGGACAGUGAUCUCUCCCUUUCUCUUCAUCCUGUACACAUCGGACUUCCACUACAACUCUGGAAGCUGUCACCUCCAGAAAAUCUCGAAUUAUACAGCCAUUGUUGGGUGUGUGUCUGAUGGGGACGAGAUGGAGUACAGGACAGUCAUCUCUAACUUUGUCGACUGGUGUGAGCGGAACCAUCUGCAGCUCAACGCCAGUAGGAUGAAGGAGAUGACUAUUGACUUCUGCAGGAGGAGGGCACCUCAGACUGCACCAGUGAACAUCCAGAGUAUAGACAUCGAGAUAGUGGACUCAUACAAAUACCUGGGUGUUCAUCUCAACAACAAACUGGACUGGUCACACAACACAGAGGUCCUGUACAAGAAGGGCCAAAGUCGUCUCCACCUGCUGAGGAGACUGAGGUCCUUUGGAGUGUGCAGGACUCUGCUCCGGACAUUCUAUGACUCUGUGGUAGCGUCUGCUGUUUUCUAUGCAGUGGUCUGCUGGGGAGCAGGGAGCACUGAGAGGGACAGAAAGAGACUGAACAGACUGGUCAUGAGGGCCGGUUCUGUGCUGGACUGUUCCUUGGACUCCAUAGAGGAGGUGGGUGAGAGGAGGAUGUUGGCAAAGCUCACAUCCAUCAUGGACAAUCCCUCUCACCCACUGCAUGACACUGUGGAGUCUCUAAGUAGCUUUUUCAGCAGCAGACUGAGACACCCAAUCUGCAAGAAGGAGUGCUAUCGCAAAUCAUUCAUUUCAUCUGCGAUAAGACUUUAUAACAUCAGCAUCACUGGCUGAUGUUAACAUAAAAUUGGAUUCUAUCACAUCAUCUUUUACCACAUAAUCUGCACAGUUCUUGCACCAUCUGAAUGUUUCUUGUACUUUACAUAAUCUACAAGCCACUUUUUCCAUCCUACACUCUUGAACUACUGUGAAUAUUAUUAUGCUUAUAAUUAUAUUGUUGUUUAUUGUUUUUUAUUGUGCUGCUGUAACAUGGGAAAUUUCCCCGGAGACGGAGAGUAAUAAAGGAUUAUGUUAUCUUA